rnacentral:piRNA from 1 species
UGGUGGACUGAGACCAGAGUUCUUA